rnacentral:rRNA from 1 species
GACGAACGCUGGCGGCGUGCUUAACACAUGCAAGUCGAACGGAAAGGCCCUGCUUUUGUGGGGUGCUCGAGUGGCGAACGGGGGAGUAACACGUGAGUAACCUGCCCUUGACUUUGGGAUAACUUCAGGAAACUGGGGCUAAUACCGGAUAGGAGCUCCUGCUGCAUGGUGGGGGUUGGAAAGUUUCGGCCGUUGGGGAUGGACUCGCGGCUUAUCAGCUUGUUGGUGGGGUAGUGGCUUACCAAGGCUUUGACGGGUAGCCCGCCUGAGAGGGUGACCGGCCACAUUGGGCCUGCGAUACGGCCCAGACUCCUACGGUAGGCAGCAGUCGGGAAUCUUGCACAGUGGUCGGAAGCCUGAUGCAGCAACGCCGCGUGCGUGAUGACGGCCUUCGGGUUGUAAACCGCUUUCGCCUGUGACGAAGCUUGAGUGACGGUAAUGGGUAAAGAAGCACCGGCUAACUACGUG